UACGUAGGGGGCAAGCGUUGUCCGGAGUCAUUGGGCGUAAAGAGCGUGUAGGCGGCCAGAUAAGUCCGCUGUGAAAUCUCGAGGCUCAACUUCGAGCUGUCGGUGGAAACUGUCUGGCUAGAGUCCGGAAGAGGAGAAUGGAAUUCCUGGUGUAGCGGUGAAAUGCGCAGAUAUCAGGAAGAACACCCGUGGCGAAGGCGGUUCUCUGGGACGGUACUGACGCUGAGACGCGAAAGCGUGGGGAGCGAACAGG
rnacentral:rRNA from 1 species